GACUUAAAUAAGCACACGUACUUGUUAUUGCUAUAACACUUGACAUCUGUGCAAAAUGCUUUUAAUACAUUUCCUUUCAUUACUUCUUUGGCUUACCUUUCAAAACAAUGCAGUUAGUGACUGUAUCUCAAAUAUGGAUGGAACGUGUUCGGAUUACCACACUUAUAACGAUAUUUGUAACAUGUUGAAAGUUUUACCCCGGCUGUUCUAUAUAAAAACAAAACGCUACGAAGCAUGCAAAACUAAAGAUCCGAUACAAGUAUCGAAAAACAAAGUAUUGAAUAUAAAAAAUGAGUAUUAUAGAAGACAAAGGUUCGAAACAGAAUCGAACACAGAUGAUGUUGUAAAAAUAUAUUUACUUCAACCCAUGCAGAGCAAUGAACAAGAUGUGCCCGAUGAAACCGAAGUAUCUGAUAUUAUGUAUUACAUACUAACUGGGUUAUCUCAACGACGGGGACGGAACAGACUCAGUGGAAGUAAGAACUUGUUUGAACGAGGACAUCCAGCGACUUCCGAGCGUAAGAAACCCGGAUAUACAAUUGCAAUUGACAAUAGUGGUUCGGUUACGGAUCAAAAUCAUUUCCAUAAAGUGUACGCGCAUAAGGAAUUCCCGAGCUAUACCAUGGAUUCAAGAUGGCUGUACUUAUCUAGGCACAAUUAGUUUCAGGAUGGACUCGAUAGAAGGAUAUUACCAAGGCCCGGGAAGGACGCUUCGAGCCGAAAGCGAUCGGCCCAUCACGUUGCCUCCCCCCGUCUCCAAGGUGAUUGAAAAACUCCAGCUGUCUCUCCCUCUCACUACACGUACAACUGCAACACUACAGCUAUCCAGAGUACUGCACUACCUCACGGCAGCCCACAAUAAGCGGGAGUGUGCCGUCGCAGUAUUUCUGGAUAUGGAAAAGGACCGUGUUUGGCUUGGAUUGACCUAUUAAGUCUGCCAGACUUCAGCCCCCCGACCGUUGGUCAAGACAGUCGCCAGCUUUCUUAAAGAUCGUCAGUUUCGAGUACGGAUAGCUGCCUCCUAGGUCCUCAGCUAGGGUGGUAGCUGUACGACUACUACUACGCAUUGCUUGGUACGUGAGGAACACCACGAUACAGAGGGACUUAGGAGUAGAGAGCCUGGACGACUUCAUUAGGCGCCUCGCCGUCGCCAUGUUCACGCGAGCCUCUGGCACCCGCGGCCACCUGACGGCCACCUGACGGCCACCUGACGGCCACCUGACGGCCACCUCUUACCGCGGGAUCUUCUGCCGCGGGUUGUUGAACAGAAUAAGGACGUACUCGAUCCGCUACCCGGCUGAUCACUCCGUAUUUUGUCACGAGGCUCGAUAGCAAGGGCCGCUUUUAGCUACAUUUUUUACCAAAAAGAAGAAGACAAUAUCAAUGGGAAUCAUCCAUUUUCUCACCCGAAGACCUGAGCAUAUCCAUGUCCAGCGGUAGAAAUUUGGGGCGUAGGGCAUAUUGCCAUGAACAUCAUUUUCCACGCGCCUACGGCGCGCGUGAACAGACUGAUUAGUCUACUUAAAAAAUAAGUAAGUUUUACAUAUUAAACCCAAGUGGUCACAGUAACACACACAUUGGAAAAUCAAAAUUGGUCAUUCAAUGUCGGGCUGUUUGUUGUACAUUCUAAGUUUAUAUUAGUAUGGAUUUUUUUUCUGAAUUUAAAUUAUUAUUAUUAUUAAUUAUUUUCCUUUUAAUUGUGAUUAUGACAUAUCUUAAGUUUUAAACUGUAAUUUAAUUUAUAUCAAAUAAAACUCAACAAUGUUAUGUAAGUAAUUUAAUUUAAGUUAAGAUUGUUUGUAUAUCUAUGGGUAAUGCCUGAAAAUAAAAUGAAAAAAAAUAAACAAAAAAUGUUGUCACCUAUUAUAUCAUUAAUUAAUUUACGUUAUACAGAUAGAUAUAUACUGAGAUCCGUUCGUUUGUCAUUUAGAUUCGUUUCUACGAUACUAAUGGAUGUAAAUGGACACAUCAGUUCUCAUAAACUGUUAUUACGAUGGCAUACGGCCCGUGUGGGUGUAAUCUUGUAUUC